CGGGUGAGUAACACGUAUCCAACCUGCCGUCUACUCUUGGACAGCCUUCUGAAAGGAAGAUUAAUACAAGAUGGCAUCAUGAGUUCACAUGUUCACAUGAUUAAAGGUAUUCUGGUAGACAUGGGGAUGCGUUCCAUUAGAUAGUAGGCGGGGUAACGGCCCACCUAGUCUUCGAUGGAUAGGGGUUCUGAGAGGAAGGUCCCCCACAUUGGAACUGAGACACGGUCCAA
rnacentral:rRNA from 1 species